GCGACCCAACGCUGGAUACUUUCUUCAGCAAAGAUGGCUGACAACAAUACUAGAAUGGAAGCUAAUGGAAUCCUGAAACAAUCAGCAAACCAGGCUGUCGUCUUGUGAAACAUUGGAUGUAAAGAAUCUAGCUAGCUAAAGCAUUUACUGUAAAUUUACUGUACAAUUUUUAAGCUUGCCUUGCUGAGAUUUGCUAUGCAAUGCAGCUGAAGUAACGUAGCUAGCUAACUAUUUUCUUGCUUAUUGUACAGUGGAGGAUAAAAAAUACCUGUAUGCCUAUGGAUGUGUAGCUAGCUAUGUAGCCGAUUUGUGUAUGGACCCUAAAUCGUUUGGUGUAUAUAUAUCAGUUCAGAACCUAGCUAUGAACCUCAGCUAUCAUAGCCGGUUGUAUCAACUUCAAAACAGUCUGAAUGACAUUAAUGAAGCCUAUGGAUUGAGUAGAAUAUAAUAACUUUGUGCCAAGGAUGCAAGUCGUAUAUACAUGUAGUUAUUAUCAUGCAUGAGAUCCCCACAUUUUAGCCUGUACAUUUAAAUAUAUUCACUGAUCAUGUACUCUACCUUGGCAAAUAAAGGUGCAGUUCAGGUAUAAUAAUAAAUAAUAAUAAUAAUA